AGCGUACACGGUGGAUGCCCUGGCAGUCAGAGGCGAUGAAGGACGUGCUAAUCUGCGAUAAGCGUCGGUAAGGUGAUAUGAACCGUUAUAACCGGCGAUUUCCGAAUGGGGAAACCCAGUGUGUUUCGACACACUAUCAUUAACUGAAUCCAUAGGUUAAUGAGGCGAACCGGGGGAACUGAAACAUCUAAGUACCCCGAGGAAAAGAAAUCAACCGAGAUUCCCCCAGUAGCGGCGAGCGAACGGGGAGCAGCCCAGAGCCUGAAUCAGUGUGUGUGUUAGUGGAAGCGUCUGGAAAGGCGCGCGAUACAGGGUGACAGCCCCGUACACAAAAAUGCACAUGCUGUGAGCUCGAUGAGUAGGGCGGGACACGUGGUAUCCUGUCUGAAUAUGGGGGGACCAUCCUCCAAGGCUAAAUACUCCUGACUGACCGAUAGUGAACCAGUACCGUGAGGGAAAGGCGAAAAGAACCCCGGCGAGGGGAGUGAAAAAGAACCUGAAACCGUGUACGUACAAGCAGUGGGAGCACGCUUAGGCGUGUGACUGCGUACCUUUUGUAUAAUGGGUCAGCGACUUAUAUUCUGUAGCAAGGUUAACCGAAUAGGGGAGCCGAAGGGAAACCGAGUCUUAACUGGGCGUUAAGUUGCAGGGUAUAGACCCGAAACCCGGUGAUCUAGCCAUGGGCAGGUUGAAGGUUGGGUAACACUAACUGGAGGACCGAACCGACUAAUGUUGAAAAAUUAGCGGAUGACUUGUGGCUGGGGGUGAAAGGCCAAUCAAACCGGGAGAUAGCUGGUUCUCCCCGAAAGCUAUUUAGGUAGCGCCUCGUGAAUUCAUCUCCGGGGGUAGAGCACUGUUUCGGCAAGGGGGUCAUCCCGACUUACCAACCCGAUGCAAACUGCGAAUACCGGAGAAUGUUAUCACGGGAGACACACGGCGGGUGCUAACGUCCGUCGUGAAGAGGGAAACAACCCAGACCGCCAGCUAAGGUCCCAAAGUCAUGGUUAAGUGGGAAACGAUGUGGGAAGGCCCAGACAGCCAGGAUGUUGGCUUAGAAGCAGCCAUCAUUUAAAGAAAGCGUAAUAGCUCACUGGUCGAGUCGGCCUGCGCGGAAGAUGUAACGGGGCUAAACCAUGCACCGAAGCUGCGGCAGCGACACUAUGUGUUGUUGGGUAGGGGAGCGUUCUGUAAGCCUGUGAAGGUGUGCUGUGAGGCAUGCUGGAGGUAUCAGAAGUGCGAAUGCUGACAUAAGUAACGAUAAAGCGGGUGAAAAGCCCGCUCGCCGGAAGACCAAGGGUUCCUGUCCAACGUUAAUCGGGGCAGGGUGAGUCGACCCCUAAGGCGAGGCCGAAAGGCGUAGUCGAUGGGAAACAGGUUAAUAUUCCUGUACUUGGUGUUACUGCGAAGGGGGGACGGAGAAGGCUAUGUUGGCCGGGCGACGGUUGUCCCGGUUUAAGCGUGUAGGCUGGUUUUCCAGGCAAAUCCGGAAAAUCAAGGCUGAGGCGUGAUGACGAGGCACUACGGUGCUGAAGCAACAAAUGCCCUGCUUCCAGGAAAAGCCUCUAAGCAUCAGGUAACAUCAAAUCGUACCCCAAACCGACACAGGUGGUCAGGUAGAGAAUACCAAGGCGCUUGAGAGAACUCGGGUGAAGGAACUAGGCAAAAUGGUGCCGUAACUUCGGGAGAAGGCACGCUGAUAUGUAGGUGAAGCGACUUGCUCGUGGAGCUGAAAUCAGUCGAAGAUACCAGCUGGCUGCAACUGUUUAUUAAAAACACAGCACUGUGCAAACACGAAAGUGGACGUAUACGGUGUGACGCCUGCCCGGUGCCGGAAGGUUAAUUGAUGGGGUCAGCGCAAGCGAAGCUCUUGAUCGAAGCCCCGGUAAACGGCGGCCGUAACUAUAACGGUCCUAAGGUAGCGAAAUUCCUUGUCGGGUAAGUUCCGACCUGCACGAAUGGCGUAAUGAUGGCCAGGCUGUCUCCACCCGAGACUCAGUGAAAUUGAACUCGCUGUGAAGAUGCAGUGUACCCGCGGCAAGACGGAAAGACCCCGUGAACCUUUACUAUAGCUUGACACUGAACAUUGAGCCUUGAUGUGUAGGAUAGGUGGGAGGCUUUGAAGUGUGGACGCCAGUCUGCAUGGAGCCGACCUUGAAAUACCACCCUUUAAUGUUUGAUGUUCUAACGUUGACCCGUAAUCCGGGUUGCGGACAGUGUCUGGUGGGUAGUUUGACUGGGGCGGUCUCCUCCUAAAGAGUAACGGAGGAGCACGAAGGUUGGCUAAUCCUGGUCGGACAUCAGGAGGUUAGUGCAAUGGCAUAAGCCAGCUUGACUGCGAGCGUGACGGCGCGAGCAGGUGCGAAAGCAGGUCAUAGUGAUCCGGUGGUUCUGAAUGGAAGGGCCAUCGCUCAACGGAUAAAAGGUACUCCGGGGAUAACAGGCUGAUACCGCCCAAGAGUUCAUAUCGACGGCGGUGUUUGGCACCUCGAUGUCGGCUCAUCACAUCCUGGGGCUGAAGUAGGUCCCAAGGGUAUGGCUGUUCGCCAUUUAAAGUGGUACGCGAGCUGGGUUUAGAACGUCGUGAGACAGUUCGGUCCCUAUCUGCCGUGGGCGCUGGAGAACUGAGGGGGGCUGCUCCUAGUACGAGAGGACCGGAGUGGACGCAUCACUGGUGUUCGGGUUGUCAUGCCAAUGGCACUGCCCGGUAGCUAAAUGCGGAAGAGAUAAGUGCUGAAAGCAUCUAAGCACGAAACUUGCCCCGAGAUGAGUUCUCCCUGACUCCUUGA
rnacentral:rRNA from 1 species